UUGUAGUAAUAUUAGUAGUAAUAAUAAUCUUUUUUUUUUUUAAAAAAAGGAACUAAAAUAUAAAGAAAAAAAAAAGAAAAGAAAAUUUACCUAAAUUCCAUGAGUUACACGUAUGAGUAUAUAGUAGUCAUCUUCUUUAUUAAGCAAGAAAGGCCUCCUUUUUCCUUCAUCUUCUUAAAAACAAUGGAGAGAAGUAGAGAACUCAUAUCAGAGCACCACCGCACUAACCUGCCACCACUCAACAACCUUCUCUAGCGCUAAGACGCGGCCGACGACUGCCCUUGUGCACUGAGCUCACCGCAGUACCCACUUGGGUCAGCAGCUGUCAGGCGUGGUCCGGUCAAAGCCACUCACGAACAGCCUUUUGUAAAUCUCAGGUCAUUUGUAUGCUCAGACACAGACUGAACAAAAGCGCAGCUGCUCUUCUUCUUCCAUUCUAUAUAUUUUCCUCUCGAGGUAAAUGAAGGUUAGAAUCAGGGCAGGGAGCAAUAUCCACUCAUUUUGUAUAUAUAUAUAUAGUUAUAAUAUAUCCUUUUCGUCAUAGUUUUACGUAUUUAAAAUUAAGCUAUAUAAAUGUGUACUCAACAUAAGCUGAUUGUGUGGUUUUGUUCUUUGAACCUGUCCUAGUGGAGGACAUAUUUUAAGAUCAAAAAAGUCAAGAGUAGCUGAAAGCAUAAAGAUCAGUAAUCAAUAAAGUAAUGUCUACCAAUCAUAUAAAAGAAUGGUGACUGUAAGUCAAAAGGACAAAUUUUAGUUUAUCGGUUUACAAACGGAACUCUGUCGGAAUUUCUAUAGAAAUUUAUAUAUUUUAAAUCGUUUCAAAUUAUUCUUAUAAUGUAAUUUCUUUAUAUCUUUCAAAGGUUGUAAACUCUGAUAUUUAAAUUCUUGAAAGAUGUCAAGUGGAUAAUAUAAUCAGUAGAGUAAUUGAUUAUAUUAUCAAUGUAAUAGGCCGAUAUAAGUGUUAAGCUUCCGCAUUAGUUUAAAUUAAUUUUGUUUAAUUAGUUGGUUAGUUUAGGGUUGUUACAUUGGGUCUGGACCCUACCCUAAAAUUAGGGUCUAGAUUCGGGUAGGGUCCAAACCCAACCCAUACCUUUAAAUGCCCAUCCCUACUUCUCUUCCCUUUUAAACAAACAAAAUACAUUCUCCCUCCUUAUCUCUCGUCUUCCUUUUUCCUUCCUUUCUUUUUUCUCUUAAUUUUCUAUUCAAAACAUAGUGUAAAAGUGACUUCAUCUUUGUACUCUUGAUAAUUUUCAUCAACAUAUCUCCUUAGAUCAUUUGAUCUAAAGAAUGCUUUCAUUUUUAUCUUCCAAAAGUCAUAGUAUUCUCCCAAAACAUUGGUAUUGGAAAUGUUACAAGUAUUGGCCAUGUGUUAUUUUCUUAAAAAGGUUUAUUAAUCUAUGUUUAGUUUUUGUUGGGUAUACUUAGAGCAGUGAUAUCAAUUUUGAUUUUCUAGCUAUGGCUUAAAGAUUUUUUUAGUGUAGUUGCGAGUGAGAAGGUUAGGGUAAACACUUUGCUUAUUAUUGAUUGGUUCUGGUCCUUACAAGUGAUACAACUAUAUUUAUAGUCACCUCAUGUUGGUGUAAUACAAUACAUGCAUAUAGAUAAUUCACUUACUACAUCCCUUAAGGCUAUAUGUAACACUAAUAUGAAUGAAUAUGUAUCACACUAAUAGAUCUGAUUACAUAUGUCUCCUUAAAAUGAAUUAAACAAGAUUCGAUUAAAUUAUGUAUUUUCAUCAUGAAGAACUAGACGUGAAAUAUUUACUCCAAAUAUAAAUAUAUACUAACUACCAAGUUGUACUGUAGUAUAUCUAGAAUGAAGGCCCAGCUUAAAUAGGAAGCCUAGUCCAACGCAUAUGUUAAAUAUUUGUACGAAAAUUUGAAUAAAAUAAGAUGUUUUAACAAUUUAAUUCCAAAAAUAAGCUUUGUGAAAACUUAAUUCUCAAAAUAAGCGUCCGUACAUCCAAACCUAGCCUUGGAGUA